ACUCCUACGGGAGGCAGCAGUGGGGAAUUUUGGACAAUGGGGGCAACCCUGAUCCAGCCAUGCCGCGUGAGUGAAGAAGGCCUUCGGGUUGUAAAGCUCUUUCGGCCGGAACGAAAUCGCGUACGUGAAUAACGUGCGUGGAUGACGGUACUGGAAGAAGAAGCACCGGCUAACUACGUGCCAGCAGCCGCGGUAAUACGUAGGGUGCGAGCGUUAAUCGGAAUUACUGGGCGUAAAGCGUGCGUAGGCGGUUUUGUAAGUCAGAUGUGAAAUCCCCGGGCUUAACCUGGGAACUGCGUUUGAAACUACAGAGCUAGAGUACGGCAGAGGGGGGUGGAAUUCCACGUGUAGCAGUGAAAUGCGUAGAUAUGUGGAGGAACACCGAUGGCGAAGGCAACCCCCUGGGCCGAUACUGACGCUGAGGCACGAAAGCGUGGGGAGCAAACAGGAUUAGAUACCCUGGUAGUCCACGCCCUAAACUAUGUCAACUAGUUGUCGGGGAAGCAAUUCUUUGGUAACGAAGCUAACGCGUGAAGUUGACCGCCUGGGGAGUACGGUCGCAAGAUUAAAACUCAAAUGAAUUGACGG
rnacentral:rRNA from 2 species